GGUUAAGCGACUAAGCGUACACGGUGGAUGCCCUGGCAGUCAGAGGCGAUGAAGGACGUGCUAAUCUGCGAUAAGCGUCGGUAAGGUGAUAUGAACCGUUAUAACCGGCGAUUUCCGAAUGGGGAAACCCAGUGUGUUUCGACACACUAUCAUUAACUGAAUCCAUAGGUUAAUGAGGCGAACCGGGGGAACUGAAACAUCUAAGUACCCCGAGGAAAAGAAAUCAACCGAGAUUCCCCCAGUAGCGGCGAGCGAACGGGGAGGAGCCCAGAGCCUGAAUCAGUGUGUGUGUUAGUGGAAGCGUCUGGAAAGGCGCGCGAUACAGGGUGACAGCCCCGUACACAAAAAUGCACAUACUGUGAGCUCGAUGAGUAGGGCGGGACACGUGGUAUCCUGUCUGAAUAUGGGGGGACCAUCCUCCAAGGCUAAAUACUCCUGACUGACCGAUAGUGAACCAGUACCGUGAGGGAAAGGCGAAAAGAACCCCGGCGAGGGGAGUGAAAAAGAACCUGAAACCGUGUACGUACAAGCAGUGGGAGCCUCUUUAUGGGGUGACUGCGUACCUUUUGUAUAAUGGGUCAGCGACUUAUAUUCUGUAGCAAGGUUAACCGAAUAGGGGAGCCGAAGGGAAACCGAGUCUUAACUGGGCGUUAAGUUGCAGGGUAUAGACCCGAAACCCGGUGAUCUAGCCAUGGGCAGGUUGAAGGUUGGGUAACACUAACUGGAGGACCGAACCGACUAAUGUUGAAAAAUUAGCGGAUGACUUGUGGCUGGGGGUGAAAGGCCAAUCAAACCGGGAGAUAGCUGGUUCUCCCCGAAAGCUAUUUAGGUAGCGCCUCGUGAAUUCAUCUCCGGGGGUAGAGCACUGUUUCGGCAAGGGGGUCAUCCCGACUUACCAACCCGAUGCAAACUGCGAAUACCGGAGAAUGUUAUCACGGGAGACACACGGCGGGUGCUAACGUCCGUCGUGAAGAGGGAAACAACCCAGACCGCCAGCUAAGGUCCCAAAGUCAUGGUUAAGUGGGAAACGAUGUGGGAAGGCCCAGACAGCCAGGAUGUUGGCUUAGAAGCAGCCAUCAUUUAAAGAAAGCGUAAUAGCUCACUGGUCGAGUCGGCCUGCGCGGAAGAUGUAACGGGGCUAAACCAUGCACCGAAGCUGCGGCAGCGACGCUUAUGCGUUGUUGGGUAGGGGAGCGUUCUGUAAGCCUGUGAAGGUGUACUGUGAGGUAUGCUGGAGGUAUCAGAAGUGCGAAUGCUGACAUAAGUAACGAUAAAGCGGGUGAAAAGCCCGCUCGCCGGAAGACCAAGGGUUCCUGUCCAACGUUAAUCGGGGCAGGGUGAGUCGACCCCUAAGGCGAGGCCGAAAGGCGUAGUCGAUGGGAAACAGGUUAAUAUUCCUGUACUUGGUGUUACUGCGAAGGGGGGACGGAGAAGGCUAUGUUGGCCGGGCGACGGUUGUCCCGGUUUAAGCGUGUAGGCUGGUUUUCCAGGCAAAUCCGGAAAAUCAAGGCUGAGGCGUGAUGACGAGGCACUACGGUGCUGAAGCAACAAAUGCCCUGCUUCCAGGAAAAGCCUCUAAGCAUCAGGUAACAUCAAAUCGUACCCCAAACCGACACAGGUGGUCAGGUAGAGAAUACCAAGGCGCUUGAGAGAACUCGGGUGAAGGAACUAGGCAAAAUGGUGCCGUAACUUCGGGAGAAGGCACGCUGAUAUGUAGGUGAAGCGACUUGCUCGUGGAGCUGAAAUCAGUCGAAGAUACCAGCUGGCUGCAACUGUUUAUUAAAAACACAGCACUGUGCAAACACGAAAGUGGACGUAUACGGUGUGACGCCUGCCCGGUGCCGGAAGGUUAAUUGAUGGGGUUAGCGGUAACGCGAAGCUCUUGAUCGAAGCCCCGGUAAACGGCGGCCGUAACUAUAACGGUCCUAAGGUAGCGAAAUUCCUUGUCGGGUAAGUUCCGACCUGCACGAAUGGCGUAAUGAUGGCCAGGCUGUCUCCACCCGAGACUCAGUGAAAUUGAACUCGCUGUGAAGAUGCAGUGUACCCGCGGCAAGACGGAAAGACCCCGUGAACCUUUACUAUAGCUUGACACUGAACAUUGAGCCUUGAUGUGUAGGAUAGGUGGGAGGCUUUGAAGUGUGGACGCCAGUCUGCAUGGAGCCGGCCUUGAAAUACCACCCUUUAAUGUUUGAUGUUCUAACGUUGGCCCCUGAUCGGGGUUGCGGACAGUGUCUGGUGGGUAGUUUGACUGGGGCGGUCUCCUCCUAAAGAGUAACGGAGGAGCACGAAGGUUGGCUAAUCCUGGUCGGACAUCAGGAGGUUAGUGCAAUGGCAUAAGCCAGCUUGACUGCGAGCGUGACGGCGCGAGCAGGUGCGAAAGCAGGUCAUAGUGAUCCGGUGGUUCUGAAUGGAAGGGCCAUCGCUCAACGGAUAAAAGGUACUCCGGGGAUAACAGGCUGAUACCGCCCAAGAGUUCAUAUCGACGGCGGUGUUUGGCACCUCGAUGUCGGCUCAUCACAUCCUGGGGCUGAAGUAGGUCCCAAGGGUAUGGCUGUUCGCCAUUUAAAGUGGUACGCGAGCUGGGUUUAGAACGUCGUGAGACAGUUCGGUCCCUAUCUGCCGUGGGCGCUGGAGAACUGAGGGGGGCUGCUCCUAGUACGAGAGGACCGGAGUGGACGCAUCACUGGUGUUCGGGUUGUCAUGCCAAUGGCACUGCCCGGUAGCUAAAUGCGGAAGAGAUAAGUGCUGAAAGCAUCUAAGCACGAAACUUGCCCCGAGAUGAGUUCUCCCUGAGACUUUAAGUCUCCUGAAGGAACGUUGAAGACGACGACGUUGAUAGGCCGGGUGUGUAAGCGCAGCGAUGCGUUGAGCUAACCGGUACUAAUGAACCGUGAGGCUUAACCUU
rnacentral:rRNA from 1 species